rnacentral:rRNA from 1 species
CCUACGGGUGGCAGCAGUGGGGAAUAUUGGGCAAUGGGCGCAAGCCUGACCCAGCAACGCCGCGUGAAGGAAGAAGGCUUUCGGGUUGUAAAAUUCUUUUAAGAGGGAAGAGCAGAAGACGGUACCUCUUUAAUAAGCCACGGAUAACUACGUACCAGCAGCCGCGGUAAUACGGAGGGGGCAAGCGUUAUCCGGAUUUACUGGGUGUAAAGGGAGCGUAGACGGUUAUGCAAGUCUGAAGUGAAAGUCCAAGGCUCAACCAUGUGACUGCUUUGGAAACUGUAACACUGGAGUACAGGAGAGGUAAGCGGAAUUCCUAGUGUAGCGGUGAAAUGCGUAGAUAUUAGGAGGAACCCCUGUGGCGAAGGCGGCUUACUGAACUGUAACUGACGUUGAGGCUCGAAGGCGUGGGGAGCAAACAGGAUUAGAUACCCCAGUAGUC